AGGUAGAGAGAGGUAGAGAGGCUACUCAGAGAAGUAGAGCAGAUCAGGGCUGCUGUAGAGAACUGCAAUACUUGGCAUCCAGCAGACAAAAGGGCGGGACUGGCAAGGAAACCGGUGCUGAGUAAAGCUCAUUUUCUCCUUAGUGUGUGUGUGUGUGUGCAUGCGUGCGUGAGUGUAUGUGUUUGUAUGUGUAUGUAUGUGUGUACACGUGUGAGCAUGCAUGUUUGUGUGUAAACAGGAUCCCACUUUCUACUAAACAUGUUUUAAAGCUGCUGAGGCUAAGAAUUCUACUUAGAGGAUUUCUAGCAGUGUCUCUCCUGCUUUCUCUCUUUUUCUGUGUCUGUCUCUCUCUCUCUCUCUCUCUCUCUCUCUCUCUCUCUCUCUCUCUCACACACAGACACACACACACACACAGAGACGCUAGACACUGCAUGCUUUGUGUGAAAUCGGAGCAGGGCAAGGCAGUAAUGAGAGGUAUGGAUGGAUGAUGAGUUGCUCGGGUUCGGGCUCGGGCAGAGAGGCAGUGCAGUAGGGAGUCUCCUCCCGACUCUCUGAUUGCCUGUUACCUCAUUACUCUCUACUGGAAGGGAAUUUCUUUUUGAUCUCUAAGAGACUAAUGAAGACAGAGCUCAAUACUUUGGUACUGUAUACAGAAGCUGGAAAGGAUCAAUCAUGCUUUUGGAUCAAGAAGAACAGAGAACCUUAAGAGAUUAAAGAAGUGUCAUGUGCACAGUGGCAUGCAUAUAUUUUUAUGAUAAUGAUUAUUAUUCAGAACUUCAUCGGACCUCAUUUUGCAAUGCACAGAUCCCACAGUCUUUUUAGGUGUAUUAUCUCACCCCUGUAAAGCUCAUUUCACUGCUAUCAUUUAGAGAAAUCCAAGCAGUUCAUUUACAAACCCCAACUUGCAGAAAGCAGGACUUCAGUGUUGAUCCACAUUAAGGAUUAGGGACUCUGAGUCAAUCCCCCAGCCGGUCCAUGCAUGGUUAGAGGUCUAGUAGACUGAUCCUUUUCUUCUUUUUAUUCAUUUGAACAAUGGCUGUCUUCUCUUAAUACACAGUUUAAUCUCGCAGAUUAAAAUGAACAUGA